GUGGAUUAGAUACCCUAGUAGUCCACACCGUAAACGUUGGGCGCUAGGUGUGGGAUCCAUUCCACGGGUUCCGUGCCGCAGCUAACGCAUUAAGCGCCCCGCCUGGGGAGUACGGCCGCAAGGCUAAAACUCAAAGGAAUUGACGGGGGCCCGCACAAGCGGCGGAGCAUGCGGAUUAAUUCGAUGCAACGCGAAGAACCUUACCUGGGUUUGACAUACGCCCUGCCGCUCCAGAGAUGGGGCUUCUUUUGGGGGUGUACAGGUGGUGCACGGUUGUCGCCAACU
rnacentral:rRNA from 1 species